rnacentral:rRNA from 1 species
CUACGUAGGUGGCAAGCGUUGUCCGGAAUUAUUGGGCGUAAAGCGCGCGCAGGUGGUUCCUUAAGUCUGAUGUGAAAGCCCCCGGCUCAACCGGGGAGGGUCAUUGGAAACUGGGGAACUUGAGUGCAGAAGAGGAUAGUGGAAUUCCAAGUGUAGCGGUGAAAUGCGUAGAGAUUUGGAGGAACACCAGUGGCGAAGGCGACUGUUUGGUCUGUAACUGACACUGAGGCGAGAAAGCGUGGGGAGCAAACAGGAUUAGAUACCCUGGUAGUCCACGCCGUAAACGAUGAGUGCUAAGUGUUGGGGGGUUUCCGCCCCUCAGUGCUGCAGCUAACGCAUUAAGCACUCCGCCUGGGGAGUACGGUCGCAAGACUGAAACUCAAAUGAAUUGACGGGG